rnacentral:rRNA from 1 species
GAUGAACGCUAGCGGCAGGCUUAAUACAUGCAAGUCGAGGGGCAGCAUGAUUGUAGCAAUACAAUUGAUGGCGACCGGCAAACGGGUGCGGAACACGUACACAACCUUCCAACAAGUGGGGGAUAGCCCAGAGAAAUUUGGAUUAAUACCCCGUAACAUAGCGAUGUGGCAUCACAUUGCUAUUAUAGAUUUUUCGCUUGUUGAUGGGUGUGCGGCUGAUUAGAUAGUUGGCGGGGUAACGGCCCACCAAGUCUACGAUCAGUAGCUGAUGUGAGAGCAUGAUCAGCCACACGGGCACUGAGACACGGGCCCGACUCCUACGGGAGGCAGCAGUAAGGAAUAUUGGACAAUGGACGCAAGUCUGAUCCAGCCAUGCCGCGUGAAGGAUUAAGGUCCUCUGGAUUGUAAACUUCUUUUAUAAGGGACGAAAAAAGGCUUUUCUAGGUCGUCUGACGGUACCUUAUGAAUAAGCACCGGCUAACUCCGUGCCAGCCGCCGCCGUAAUAC